rnacentral:tRNA from 1 species
GACUCCGUAGCUCAGCUGGUAGAGCAACAGACUCUUAAUCUGUGGGUCCAGGGUUCGAUCCCCUGCGGGGUCA